rnacentral:rRNA from 1 species
AGANUUUGAUCNNGGCUCAGAUUGAACGCUGNCGGCAGGCCUANCACAUGCAAGUCGAGCGGUAACAUUCCUAGCUUGCUAGGAGAUGACGAGCGGCGGACGGGUGAGUAACGCGUGGGAAUUUGCCCAGUAGUGGGGGAUAGCCCGGGGAAACCCGGAUUAAUACCGCAUACGUCCUCUNUUUUUCGGAAGAGGGGAGAAAGCAGGGGACUCUUCGGAGCCUUGCGCUAUUGGAUAAGCCUGCGUCGGAUUAGCUGGUUGGUGGGGUAAAGGCCUACCAAGGCGACGAUCCGUAGCUGGUCUGAGAGGAUGAUCAGCCACACUGGGANUGAGACACGGCCCAGACUCCUACGGGAGGCAGCAGUGGGGAAUAUUGCACAAUGGGCGCAAGCNUGAUGCAGCCAUGCCGCGUGUGUGAAGAAGGCU